rnacentral:rRNA from 1 species
AUUGAACGCUGGCGGCAGGCCUAACACAUGCAAGUCGAGCGGAUGAAGGGAGCUUGCUCCUGGAUUCAGCGGCGGACGGGUGAGUAAUGCCUAGGAAUCUGCCUGGUAGUGGGGGAUAACGUCCGGAAACGGGCGCUAAUACCGCAUACGUCCUGAGGGAGAAAGUGGGGGAUCUUCGGACCUCACGCUAUCAGAUGAGCCUAGGUCGGAUUAGCUAGUUGGUGGGGUAAAGGCCUACCAAGGCGACGAUCCGUAACUGGUCUGAGAGGAUGAUCAGUCAAACUGGAACUGAGACACGGUCCAGACUCCUACGGGAGGAAGCAGUGGGGAAUAUUGGACAAUGGGCGAAAGCCUGAUCCAGCCAUGCCGCGUGUGUGAAGAAGGUCUUCGGAUUGUAAAGAACUUUAAGUUGGGAGGAAGGGAAGUAAGUUAAUACCUUGCUGUUUUGACGUUACCAACAGAAUAAGCACCGGCUAACUUCGUG